UCUAUCCCUAGAAGCAUUGUAGAUGUGGCUGCUGUGUCACAUGUGCAUCAAUAGGUGGUAGGGAGGACAGAGGCUAUUUCUAUGCUCAGUGUUCUGAUAUGAAUAUCUGAGUAAUUGGUAGCCUAGCAUU